rnacentral:rRNA from 1 species
UACUCGAGUGGCGAACGGGUGAGUAACGCGUGGGUGAUCUGCCCUGCACUUCGGGAUAAGCUUGGGAAACUGGGUCUAAUACCGGAUAGGAGCCAUCUUUAGUGUGGUGGUUGGAAAGUUUUUUCGGUGUAGGAUGAGCUCGCGGCCUAUCAGCUUGUUGGUGGGGUAAUGGCCUACCAAGGCGGCGACGGGUAGCCGGCCUGAGAGGGUGUACGGCCACAUUGGGACUGAGAUACGGCCCAG